rnacentral:rRNA from 1 species
GACGAACGCUGGCGGCGUGCUUAACACAUGCAAGUCGAACGGAAAGGCCUGCUUUCCCUUGUGGAUUGCGGGUACUCGAGUGGCGAACGGGUGAGUAACACGUGAGUGAUCUGCCCCCAACUUGGGUAUAAGCCUGGGAAACUGGGUCUAAUUCCCGAUAGGACUGCAGGGUGGUGCCUGUGGUGGAAAACGAUUUUCUAGUGGUUGGGGAUGAGCUCGCGGCCUAUCAGCUUGUUGGUGGGGUAAUGGCCUACCAAGGCGGCGACGGGUAGCCGGCCUGGGAGGGUGGACGGCCACAUUGGGACUGGGAUACGGCCCAGACUCCUACGGGAGGCAGCAGUGGGGAAUAUUGCACAAUGGGCGCAAGCCUGAUGCAGCGACGCCGCGUGGGGGAUGACGGCCUUUGGGUUGUAAACUCCUUUCGACCGCGAGGAAGCCACCUGGUUGGAAGGGUGGUGACGGUAGUGGUAGAAGAAGCACCGGCUAACUACGUG